rnacentral:rRNA from 1 species
AGCGCCUACCGCAUGGUGGGUGUUGGAAAGAUUUAUCGGUUUUGGAUGGACUCGCGGCCUAUCAGCUUGUUGGUGAGGUAAUGGCUCACCAAGGCGACGACGGGUAGCCGGCCUGAGAGGGUGACCGGCCACACUGGGACUGAGACACGGCCCAGACUCCUACGGGAGGCAGCAGUGGGGAAUAUUGCACAAUGGGCGCAAGCCUGAUGCAGCGACGCCGCGUGAGGGAUGACGGCCUUCGGGUUGUAAACCUCUUUCAGUAGGGAAGAAGCGAAAGUGACGGUACCUGCAGAAGAAGCACCGGCUAACUACGUGCCAGCAGCCGCGGUAAUACGUAGGGUGCGAGCGUUAUCCGGAAUUAUUGGGCGUAAAGAGCUCGUAGGCGGUUUGUCGCGUCUGUCGUGAAAGUCCGGGGCUUAACCCCGGAUCUGCGGUGGGUACGGGCAGACUAGAGUGCAGUAGGGGAGACUGGAAUUCCUGGUGUAGCGGUGGAAUGCGCAGAUAUCAGGAGGAACACCGAUGGCGAAGGCAGGUCUCUGGGCUGUAACUGACGCUGAGGAGCGAAAGCAUGGGGAGCGAACAGGAUUAGAUACCCUGGUAGUCCAUGCCGUAAACGUUGGGCACUAGGUGUGGGG